rnacentral:rRNA from 1 species
GGAUCAUUACUGAGUUUACGCUCUACAACCCUUUGUGAACAUACCUAUAACUGUUGCUUCGGCGGGUAGGGUCUCCGCGACCCUCCCGGCCUCCCGCCUCCGGGCGGGUCGGCGCCCGCCGGAGGAUAACCAAACUCUGAUUUAACGACGUUUCUUCUGAGUGGUACAAGCAAAUAAUCAAAACUUUUAACAACGGAUCUCUUGGUUCUGGCAUCGAUGAAGAACGCAGCGAAAUGCGAUAAGUAAUGUGAAUUGCAGAAUUCAGUGAAUCAUCGAAUCUUUGAACGCACAUUGCGCCCGCCAGCAUUCUGGCGGGCAUGCCUGUUCGAGCGUCAUUUCAACCCUCAAGCUCUGCUUGGUGUUGGGGCCCUACAGCUGAUGUAGGCCCUCAAAGGUAGUGGCGGACCCUCCCGGAGCCUCCUUUGCGUAGUAACUUUACGUCUCGCACUGGGAUCCGGAGGGACUCUUGCCGUAAAACCCCCAAUUUUCCAAAGGUUGACCUCGGAUCAGG